CUUGUUGGUUUUGUUUGUUUGCCGUGUCUUUAAAUUAGGACCACUGAUUGUUAGAACUCUAUGCCGGGCACCGCCUCCUUCACUGUACACCUAACCAGCGGUCGACUGCGCGGUAACAAGUGCAGGUAAUUGCCGCUAUCAUUUUCACUUUUUAAAAGGAACCGUGAACAGACUGUGUGCGUGCUGGACAUCCCUUCGGAUUUGCUAGAGAUCCCCGCUUCUGCGUCCGUUGGGCUACCAGGAUGUUGUCUGUCAGUCGUCAGACAGUGGCCGAGUGAAGCUACGUUGAGCAAGGACUGGGAGUUAGAUUCGUAUGCUCACAGUUCAAUGUUCCUGGCGACUCGCACUCGUGUGUGUGUGUGUGUGUGUGUGUGAAAAGGCCCAGCGUAGGAGUUGCUGUGAUGCGGUGUAGCGGACACUGAUGGACUGACAAGGGGAUCCACUGUGGACUGUUUGCCAUUCUCCAGUAGCCAACACGGACUGUUGUAAAUUGACUUUUCUAGAUGUGUGGUAUGGUAUACCUUAAAAAAAUAUAUAAUACAUAAAUAUAAGAUUGUAAUAAAUAUUAUAUCUUUUUUUAAUA